UGAGCACUUUGGGUUCCUUUGGAGCCAUUU
rnacentral:piRNA from 1 species